UGGGGAAUAUUGCACAAUGGGCGCAAGCCUGAUGCAGCCAUGCCGCGUGUGUGAAGAAGGCCUUCGGGUUGCAAAGCACUUUCAGCGGGGAGGAAGGCGGUGAGGUUAAUAACCUCAUCAAUUGACGUUACCCGCAGAAGAAGCACCGGCUAACUCCGUGCCAGCAGCCGCGGUAAUACGGAGGGUGCAAGCGUUAAUCGGAAUUACUGGGCGUAAAGCGCACGCAGGCGGUCUGUCAAGUCGGAUGUGAAAUCCCCGGGCUCAACCUGGGAACUGCAUUCGAAACUGGCAGGCUAGAGUCUUGUAGAGGGGGGUAGAAUUCCAGGUGUAGCGGUGAAAUGCGUAGAGAUCUGGAGGAAUACCGGUGGCGAAGGCGGCCCCCUGGACAAAGACUGACGCUCAGGUGCGAAAGCGUGGGGAGCAAACAGG
rnacentral:rRNA from 1 species